GUAACAAGGAAACACGUUUCUUAUUCCUGUAACAGAAGGGGAAAGAUGGGCAGACCUGGCAGCGGCUCCGGAAGAGCAGAAGAAAGCGGAAGGGCCCUUCACCAGCAAGCGCCACUCUCCCCCCAGCAAUGAAAAUAACACGCAAUGACCAGGGGGUGGAAUCCAUCACUCUCUUCACGCAGUGUUAGCUGCCACCAAUCACACAUUUAUCUCUUUCUGGUGCUCUCCGAGCUUGGAUAGAUGAACUUGCAUCCAACGUUGUCUUAGAACCAAGACUUUCCACUGACCAUGUCACAUCUCCGGGCUUCAGAGUGGCUGAUCCGGGCCAGCGAGAUCCUCUAGGUGAGACUUGGGAGUAUCCACCUGGAGGUGGAAGGGCAGCCAAAGCUCCGGCCUGGAGAAGGCUUGGAAUCCACUGACUUCCUUGUUCACUUGUAACCAGGGGGCCCGGAGAGGUUCCAGCAUCCCGCAUUCAUAGCCUGCAGCGAACUCCUGUAUGUUGGCUCAGCAGACGUGUUCUGAGAGCGUUCCACGUGCAGGUGCUGUUCUCGGACUGGAGGAGGUGAACAGAUCUCUGAAGUUUAAAGGGAAGAGGAAAGGGACAUAAAUAUUGUUAUCUGCAAGGAGAGGACAGAGAAAGGAGACACUGGAAUUCCUGUAACAAUCAACUCAGCUUUUUAAUUUAUUUUUUAUUUUUUAUUUUUUUAAACUAUUUUUUUGGCUGUGGUUGUGUCUUCUU